UUGCGGUUAAAAAGCUCGUAGUUGGAUUUCUGUUGAGGUCGGGCGGUGUACACUUCGUGUAUUAUUUGCUUCGGUCUCGGCAUCCUCUUGGGGAACGUCAGGACUUCAUUGGACUGGCGAGAUUCAAGACUUUUACUUUGAGGAAAUUAGAGUGUUCACGGCAGGCAAGUGCUUUGAAUACAUUAGCAUGGAAUAAUAAUAUAGGACCUUCGUUCUAUUUUGUUGGUUUCUAGAACUUAGGUAAUGAUUAAUAGGGACAAUUGGGGGCAUUCGUAUUAACGCGUCAGAGGUGGAAUUCUUGGAUUGCGUUACGACGAACUACUGCGAAAGCAUUUGCCAAAGAUGUUUUCAUUGAUCAAGAACGAAAGUAUGGGGAUCGAAGACGCUUAGAUACCGUCGUAGUCUAUACCAUAAACUAUGCCAACUAGGGAUUGGACGGGUUAUCCUAUGUGGCUCGUUCAGCACCUUAUGAGAAAUCAAAGUUUUUGGGUUCCGGGGGGAAUAUGGUCGCAAGGCUGAAACUUAAAGGAAUUGACGGAAAGGCACCACCAGGAGUGGAGCCUGCGGCUUAAUUUGACUCAACACGGGAAAAACUCACCA
rnacentral:rRNA from 1 species